rfam:Tupaia chinensis contig42072, whole genome shotgun sequence.
CAUCGCUAGUCUGGGUACAAUAGCAUCUGGCUAAUGGUGCCCAUCUCUUAUCAGCCAGGGACAAAAGCAAAGCAACCCCUUGUUUGUCCUAGCCCAUGCCUGACACAGGGUUCAUGCUUCAGACACAUGG